CCAAAGUGAGCUCAGUACAGAAGAAAUUGUCAGACGAGGACUCCACGAAGACACCGGAGAUUACUGAAGUUCACUCCAGGCAGA